rnacentral:siRNA from 1 species
AUGUGUCAAGUUGUGGGAGAGAGU